CAGAGCACAGUAGUAUUCUAGUCUCAACAGUCAGAGUUAGAAGUGAGUCCUCAUCUUUCGAGGACAUGAUCAUUAUUUUAAUAUCUCAUUAAUUAAUUUAUUAGUUGGAGUUAAUUGGGGACAUGUCCCAUCAACUCCUUAUUCAGACCGUCAUGUUUAGAGGCUUUUCAGACUACAGUAUGUUCAGAUAAUCUAUUUUAGUUUUGUUUGGGUAUUUCAU
rnacentral:lncRNA from 1 species